AUGACCUCAGGCACGAGGUGUGGCUCGACGAGUUGGAGGGAUGGCCCCCUGGUCGUCAGGCCCGGUCUUCUACUUCAGCCGAGACGCGCCGUCCAUCUCCAUAGCGGGGACAUCCCAGGCAGCGGCGGAGUAGCCUCCAGGGAAAGCUGGACCGAGCACGAGCACGACAAUGGGAGUCUUGUACACGAAGAAGUACUACAAAUUGGCCAAGCACCAGUAUUGGAUGCGUCAUAUAUCGGACUGAUCAAACCCAACAGCCUCGUUCGGUUCAGGGGGAUGGUUCAGGACAUGCUCGGGGCGGGAUGUGCUACCUGGAGGACAAAAAAGUUCACAGACUUCUCACCAUUCUCGAUGAUGUACCCAUGUGAUUCACAUCUCUGGGUGCGCCAUCUCUGCCAUUGCGUGCCUGUGCAUAGGCAGAAUUCUUGGAUACUGGAGUCUCCCCCUGGACCUGUCUUUCGCCAGAUGGCAAACUGGUUGACACCUGAAAAAAGAGAUAAAAGGAAGAGGGAUGGGGAUGGUGAUGUCAAUGCCAUCGUUAGCUGGGCCAACCUUCGUCUUUCUCCUCCGAGCCAGCACCAAGAUGCCCAUCUCAUCCUGGCCGAGGAACCGCGACCCCGGCAGCUCGCCACUGGCACCAAAACAGCAUCUAUCCGUCCUGCCAGCGCAUGUCCCGACCAUGCCAACACAAAUUCAGCCCAGUGGGAUGUUGGUGCAUCUGUUGCAUCGUUGAAGUGGUUGGUGUACUGA
rnacentral:rRNA from 1 species